UGAAUAACAAACAUUGGUCCUAUCGGCAUCGUAUCUACCCGUUUGUGCAAUAGAGUAAACCCCUCCCACACCAUUUACUAAUACUCCCCAAAUUACUUUACAAGAUUAUUACAGAACCAAAAUAAAAAAAUAAAACAAUAAAAAUACAUCACAGCCUACAGCUAGAUCCGAGCAGCCUAAUUUAAUCUUAAUAUCCAAUAACAUGUGCUUCACCAAAUUCAGAUUCCAGAUUCCAAGGCCGUCUCUUAUUCAAAGUUUUUCAAAGUUCCAAGGAGCUUCAAGAGCCCCAGGUAAUGCUUACACUCUGAAUAAAAAUUGUUGUAACAGAAAAGCGCAGUGUGGAAUAGCCAACCCUCAGGCAUCCAAGUUCAGAGGGAACUCCAGGGUCCCAAAGCAUGGGUUACCAAAGGGGGGUAGAACUUAGAACUAGGAAUGAAUGCACAGUAAGAGAGGGAGCCAUAACAGAGGGUGGUCAUACCCAGUAAUGGGUAUGGACUGGCAUACCCCUGACCCUCUAUUUGGUCCACGCAAGUAAAGAUCAGACUUUAAAAGUCAAACUUAGGUCUGCAUGGUGAUUAGGACUCCACCAGACCUGAGUUAAGGCUCAGCACAUAAGGGGUAAAGGGAAUGGGAAAGUGACUUGAGAAGAUGUUUAAGAGAGAACCUGAUUCUGAGUCAUGAGUGGCAAUAAUAAUAUACCAACAUGACUAAGAAUUACUCACACAUAAGAGGGGGUCAAAUGGAAGGAUUCCACAUAAGAAAGCAUUUACAGAAACAUGCAGAAAGCAAGAAGGCAUACUGACUUGAAGAUGCAGAACAUAGUGAAAGAGAGCAUGACAGACUAAAUGGAGAAUGCAUAACAGAAGAAGGGAAAUAAAUACAUAUUCAGGAGGGUAGUAUUUAACUAGGGAGACACACCAGAUGUAAUUUUUAGAACAGUAGAACACAAUAGCAAGUAAACAACCAGAGAGUUAGGAGGAUCAAACUCAGAAACUUCAGCCAGCACUUGAGAAUUCAAAGGAACUCAAAGAAUGUUCUCACAGUAAUGAGAAGAGGAGCAGGGUGCUCAGUAAAGAAGGCAAUAGCAGUAGCAGAGAAAGCAGUAGUAGAGAAUGCAGUUGUGGAGAUACUAGUAGAAGAGAAAGUAGUAUGUUUUUAAGACAAAUGUGUUUGUUUGUAAAGGUUGUUAUUGCAAAAGUGUGCAUAAAGAGUAGUGUGUGGAUGGUCUAAUAGCGGAAGGGUAGUCCCCUUUUAUAGUGCAAAAAACCGAGUAAGCAGAAAGUAAGAAAUAAUUUUCAGUCAAUCACAUAAGGAUCUCCCAUAGGUUAACAGAGAUUUCAAACGGGCAUGAGACAAUUAAGGAAAGAGAAAAUAAUUAAAACUUUUCAGAGUAGCAUAAAAAGGGUAAGUACAUAGAGUUUAAUUAAGGCAAGAAUCCUAUGGUACAUGGUUUGAAAAAUAAGGAACAAUCAAAUGAGCCUAAGUAAAGGGAAAUUGGAAUCAAUUACAAGUUGGCAGAAUCCUUUUGAAAGGAAAAACGUUCAUAUAUAAAGCACACAAGUGUCAAACAAGAAAAGAAAGACUUGCAUAGAAAGUUCCAAAUCAUAAGCAAAAGAUUCCAGUCUAGUCCAAAGUAGAACCCUAGUUCAAAAUCAAAGGCCAAAAUCUCGUAGGAACCCCAAACCCUAGGGUUUCGAAUUUGAGUAGGGUACAGAAAGGAGGGGGCAAGGCCUUGAAACAGUCUCAGAGAGUCUCAUGAAGAAACACACGGAUACAAUAGCAAGUUUGAAGCAACAGAGUGAGAAAAUCAUAAAGAACAGGUUUAAUAAAAGCCCAGAACUCAAGCAAGUUCAGGAGGGAAAAUAUGUGACAUCGAACUUAUGCGACAGUAGAUGGAAUAGGUUUAAAACUCAAACAAACUGAGUAAGAAAAAAAUAGUGAAGGAACACACAUAAAGUAGACACGUAAAGCAUGCUGUAGAAAACCAGUAGAAGAGAUAACAAGUAGAAGAACAUGCAUAAUAAUGGCAAAACAUAAGAACAUAAGAGAAGAUAUGCACAAGUGAAAACUCAUAUGAACGAAGCAUAUACAUGCCGAUUCACAUAUAGAAAGAAGAAGAAACAGAAAUCUUUUUAAGAGUUUUUCGAAAACCCUAGAUUGAACAGACUAGUUUUGAAAGAGAAGACUAGGGAAAAGCUUUAAAACCUCA
rnacentral:lncRNA from 1 species